GAUGAACGCUGGCGGCGUGCCUAAUACAUGCAAGUCGAACGCUGAAGCUUGGUGCUUGCACCGAGCGGAUGAGUUGCGAACGGGUGAGUAACGCGUAGAUAACCUGCCUCUUAGCGGGGGAUAACUAUUGGAAACGAUAGCUAAUACCGCAUAAUAUUUGACACCGCAUGAUGCUGACUUGAAAGGCGCAAUUGCUUCACCUAGUAAUGGACCUGCCUUGUAAUUGCCAGGUGGUUAGGUAACGGGUCAACAAGGCGACGAAAGCGUACCGGCCUGGGAGGGUGGACGGCCAACCUGGGACUGGGACACGGCCCAGACUCCUACGGGAGGCAGCAGUAAGGAAUCUUCGGGAAUGGGGCCAACGCUGACCGGGCAACGCCGGGUGAGGGAAGGAAGGUCUCGGGUCGGAAAACUCUGUUGAAAGGGAAAGAAGAGAGUGGGAAUGGAAAGUGCACAUUGUGACGGUAACUUAUCAGAAAGAGACGGCUAACUACGUG
rnacentral:rRNA from 1 species